rnacentral:rRNA from 1 species
UACGUAGGCGGAAAAUUAAGUCAGUGGUGAAAUCCUGCAGCUUAACUGUAGAACUGUCAUUGAUACUGGUUUUCUUGAAUACAGUUGAGGUAGGCGGAAUGUGUAAUGUAGCGGUGAAAUGCUUAGAUAUUACACAGAACACCGAUUGCGAAGGCAGCUUACUAAACUGUUAUUGACGCUGAGGUACGAAAGCGUGGGGAGCGAACAGGAUUAGAUACCCUGGUAGUCU